rnacentral:rRNA from 1 species
AACGAACGCUGGCGGCAGGCCUAACACAUGCAAGUCGAGCGAGGACUUCGGUCCUAGCGGCGGACGGGUGAGUAACGCGUGGGAACGUGCCCUUUGCUACGGAAUAGCCCCGGGAAACUGGGAGUAAUACCGUAUGUGCCCUUCGGGGGAAAGAAUUAUCGGCAAAGGAUCGGCCCGCGUUGGAUUAGGUAGUUGGUGGGGUAAUGGCCUACCAAGCCGACGAUCCAUAGCUGGUUUGAGAGGAUGAUCAGCCACACUGGGACUGAGACACGGCCCAGACUCCUACGGGAGGCAGCAGUGGGGAAUCUUAGACAAUGGGGGAAACCCUGAUCUAGCCAUGCCGCGUGAGCGAUGAAGGCCUUAGGGUUGUAAAGCUCUUUCAGUGGGGAAGAUAAUGACGGUACCCACAGAAGGAGCCCCGGCUAACUCCGUGCCAGCCGCCGCCGUAACAC